rnacentral:ncRNA from 2 species
CUUCCGAGGAGCGUUGCAGCGCCAUCAGGCGUGAGGCUCGGACCCCAUCGCAACCACGCUCACCCGCU